UCAAAUUGGGGAAUGAACUUAAAUUUCCAAGAUCCAUUUUGCUCUACUUUUAAGUUCUAUGCUAAUAAGUUAUUCCUCAUUCUUGUUUAUUUUAUAUCAAUUCAGAAUGGACAAAUGAAAUUGUUGUUUUAGCAUGUCUUACCUGACACAACACUAACAUGGAUUUUAUUUAAAUAGGUUCUCAACCCUUCUGAGUCAUUUCUGAAUAUUAUGGUCGACUAUCCAUCGGUCGAAUGCACAUCAUCGGUUCUUGAAGCCUUGAUUAUGUUUAGUGAAAAUUACCCAGGGUACCGCAAAGAUGAGAUAGGAAAGUGCAUAAAACAUUGUUCCAUGUUUAUUGAGAAUAGUCAACGGAAGGAUGGAUCAUGGUUUGGCACUUGGGGUAUAUGUUUCACUUAUGGAACAUUAUUUGCUGUAAAAGGGUUAAUUGCUGCUGGAAGUACUUACAACAAUAGUUCCUUCAUAAGAAAAGCAUGCAACUUUCUGUUGUCAAAGCAGCUAAGUACAGGUGGAUGGGGUGAGACUUAUCUUUCAAGUGAAACUAAGGUAAUUCUUAUUCUUUUCUGUAUCUAACCACACAAUUUGAUUAAUGUUUGGUAUGUUCAAGGUUAAUUUUUGUAUUCUUUUAGCUUGAUAUGCUAAACAAAAGCUGUUAUCUGUCUAUCCUCGAGAAAGCUUUUGAGAUGCCAUCUGCCUAUCCCUGAGCAAGCUUUUUCGAGAUCUUAUCCACUCAUAGUUGUAUCUAUCAGAUCACUAGCACAAACUCGAAAUUCCCAAAGAGUUCAAAAUUUGAAACCACCCAUUGGAAAUUCAUUAGGAAUAGAGUGUGUUGCGCAACCCUGGACCAAACAAACCAGCAUCCUUGCCCCGGCCCGGUUAUAAUUCCAAGGCAAUCUAUAGAGCAACACCACCUUAUAAGGGAUCUUGGGCCCUCUGUUCGUAUAGUUUCAUCUCUACUUCCCCAUAGUCGUGUUUAUUCAUAUCAUCUCUCUAGUCUUGAGUUGUAAUUGAGAUGGUUGUUAAGUUCUAGUUUAUAGCCAAACUCUUGUCGAAUGAACCUGAUUUCAUUAAAAUGGGCUAUAUUCUGGCCAAAUACAUAUGAUUAUGCAUCACCGAAAAAGUGAAAGGUCCAUCAAUGGGUAUGCUACCCAAAUCUUUCAUUCAUAGAUGUAGGCUUUGGAAAAUUGGAACAUGGCAAAGUUUCUCUCCAAAAAAAGAUAACCUCCUAAGUUUGGGAUCAUUAUAUUUCUAGAGAAAA